UACGGGGGGGGCAAGCGUUGUUCGGAAUUACUGGGCGUAAAGGGCUCGUAGGUGGCCAACUAAGUCAGACGUGAAAUCCCUCGGCUUAACCGGGGAACUGCGUCUGAUACUGGAUGGCUUGAGUUCGGGAGAGGGAUGCGGAAUUCCAGGUGUAGCGGUGAAAUGCGUAGAUAUCUGGAGGAACACCGGUGGCGAAGGCGGCAUCCUGGACCAACACUGACGCUGAGGGAGCGAAAGCCAGGGGAGCAAACGGG
rnacentral:rRNA from 1 species